rnacentral:rRNA from 1 species
GCUGUUCGCCCAUUAAAGCGGUACGCGAGCUGGGUUCAAUACGUCGUGAGACAGUAUGGUCCUUAUCCGUCGUGGGCGCAGGAUAUUUGAGGGGAGUUGCUCCUAGUACGAGAGGACCGGAGUGAACAAACCUCUGGUGUACCAGUUGUGGCGCUAGCCGCAUCGCUGGGUAGCCAUGUUUGGAAGGGAUAAAUGCUGAAAGCAUCUAAGCAUGAAGCCCACCCCAAGAUUAGAUAUCCCAUCCUAAAAAAACAUGGAUAAGGGGUUAGUGAUAAUCCCUGCCAUCUGUUUUAAGGGAGUAAGACCUCUUCGAGAAAAGGAGAUUGAUAGGCCAAGGGUGUAAUGCCCGUAAGGGUUUUAGCUGAUUGGUACUAAUAGGUCGAGGACUUGACCAU